rnacentral:rRNA from 1 species
GAUGAACGCUGGCGGCGUGCCUAAUACAUGCAAGUCGAGCGAAUGGAUUAAGAGCUUGCUCUUAUGAAGUUAGCGGCGGACGGGUGAGUAACACGUGGGUAACCUGCCCAUAAGACUGGGAUAACUCCGGGAAACCGGGGCUAAUACCGGAUAACAUUUUGAACCGCAUGGUUCGAAAUUGAAAGGCGGCUUCGGCUGUCACUUAUGGAUGGACCCGCGUCGCAUUAGCUAGUUGGUGAGGUAACGGCUCACCACGGCAACGAUGCGUAGCCGACCUGAGAGGGGGAUCGGCCACACGUGGACGGGGACACGUCCCAGACUCCUACGGGGGGCAGCAGUAGGGAAUCUUCCGCAAUGGACGAAAGUCUGACGGAGCAACGCCGCGUGAGUGAUGAAGGCUUUCGGGUCGUAAAACUCUGUUGUUAGGGAAGAACAAGUACUAGUUGAAUAAGCUGGCACCUUGACGGUACCUAACCAGAAAGCCACGGCUAACUACGUGCCAGCAGCCGCCGUAA